UUGUUGAUAGCUCAGCUGGUAGAGCAUGAUACUCUUAAUCUCAGGGUUGUGGGUUUGAGUCCCCCAUUGGACAAA